GCCUCAAUAGCCCAGUCGGUUAGAGCAUCUGACUGUUAAUCAGAGGGUCCUUGGUUCGAGUCCAAGUUGGGGCG
rnacentral:tRNA from 1 species